rnacentral:rRNA from 1 species
CGCGAAACCUUUACAAUGCACGAAAGUGUGAUAAGGCAACUCCUUGUGCUUAUCCAAAAGAUAGGCUUUUUAGUAUGUAAUGUAUACUAAGAAUAAGUGAUGGGCAAGACCGGUGCCAGCAGCCGCGGUAAUACCGGCGUCACAAGUGGAGAUCACGAUUACUGGGUCUAAAGUGUUCGUAGCUGGUCAUAUAAGUCUCUUGUGAAAGUUCUGUAGCUUGACUCAGAAUUGCAAGAGAUACUGUAUGACUUGAGACCGGAAGAGGUGUAAAAGUAUGGAUUGGGUA